ACCUACGGGUGGCAGCAGUCGAGAAUCAUUCACAAUGGGGGAAACCCUGAUGGUGCGACGCCGCGUGGGGGAAUGAAGGUCUUCGGAUUGUAAACCCCUGUCAUGUGGGAGCAAAUUAAAAAGAUAGUACCACAAGAGGAAGAGACGGCUAACUCUGUGCCAGCAGCCGCGGUAAUACAGAGGUCUCAAGCGUUGUUCGGAAUCACUGGGCGUAAAGCGUGCGUAGGCUGUUUCGUAAGUCGUGUGUGAAAGGCGCGGGCUCAACCCGCGGACGGCACAUGAUACUGCGAGACUAGAGUAAUGGAGGGGGAACCGGAAUUCUCGGUGUAGCAGUGAAAUGCGUAGAUAUCGAGAGGAACACUCGUGGCGAAGGCGGGUUCCUGGACAUUAACUGACGCUGAGGCACGAAGGCCAGGGGAGCGAAAGGGAUUAGAUACCCCUGUAGUCC
rnacentral:rRNA from 1 species